GUUAGUAUCUUUGUACAAAAACAUAACAUCCAUACCACGCGGUAUUCUUGUUCAUAGUGGCCAGACAUUUCUACACAAUUUGCUUUGCUCCGAGAUUUAUAGCGUAAAAAUAACGAAGACAACCAAUUGUGUCUCCAAGUAGUUUUCACGGUUCGGUUUGGGGAGGAAGAGCGCAGCACAGAGAUCUAUCGAGGCCCUACGUGUCAGUCAGGGAGGACUUGGUGGAAACUACCUAUCCAUACGCUAUCCGUAUGCCAGAAGACAUGUUGCGGUGUUAAAUCGAGUGACGUAUUUUCCUGCAAUCAUGAUUGAAACCUACAGUAGACAUCAAGUUCUUGUGGAGCAAGAAAGAAAUAUAUAAAGAUGAUAUACAAUGAAAAUGAAAAGAAGAGACAGACAAAGAAGUAGAGGAAUCAUCGAGAAAUUUCCCAGUCACAAUCUAGCACAAGUUAGGAAUGAGUAUGGUGCUUUAACAGAACGCAGUACUUCAUUGGUAUCGAUAUUUCAUCGAACUUCGAAAGAGUACAAGACAAAGUUAACUUGAAGAGAAAUGAGUGAAUACGGUUGGCGUUUAAAUCAGCCAAACUAAGAAUUUCGAUUUCCAACAGCAGCAACAGCAAGAAGAAGAAUCGUCACUGCCUGGAAUCGAACUUGGAAUCUUGGAGUUAGUAGUCCGCGCUCUUAACUACUACGCCAUAUACCUGAUGGAGGCUGGAAGGUAUAUCAACCAAAACGUUGUGUUAACAAGAAAAAAGAUGAGGGACGGAGCCUGGGAUUUCUGGGGAAGAAGAUAAUCGAUUACACCGACACAAUUACUCGAUCAGUGCUUAAUUUAUCGAUGAAAGGCAAAGUCGACCUCAGCGGUAUUUGAACGCAGAACGUAAAGAUAGACGAUAUGCCAAGUAAUUUUCGCGGCGUGCUAAAAAAGCUUUUGCCAUUUUUCCAUCCUUAUACAGAGAUUAAUGAUACUUUUUAACAUAGCACCUCACCGUGUCCACGGACUGAACUCGUGAUAUUAUGAUCUUGAAACCGAACACACUAAGAACUAAGCUACACGCUUACAUGCAUACACGCUCAUACAUACAUGCAUACAUACAAACAUACAUACAUACAUACAUACAUACAUACAUACAUGCAUGCAUGCAUGCAUGCAUACAUACAUACAUACAUACAUACAUACAUACAUACAUACAUACCUUUGUAUUUAUCAACCUAUCCGGUUUCAUUUAUCUAGAAAGAUGCUCAAGAGUAAAGUAUGAGGUUUUCUGUAUCGUCUGCCGUGUCAAAAAUUCGUUUUACAAAAAUGUAUUCAAAUCAAGUGAUAGAGUCUUUGACAAUGAUAAGAAAUCGUUUGAGGCUGUGUGUAUCCUCCGUGAUGAGUCA